GAUCAUGGCUCAGAUUGAACGCUGGCGGCAGGGCCUAACACAUGCAAGUCGAACGGUAACAGGAAGAAGCUUGCUUCUUUGCUGACGAGUGGCGGACGGGUGAGUAAUGUCUGGGAAACUGCCUGAUGGAGGGGGAUAACUACUGGAAACGGUAGCUAAUACCGCAUAACGUCGCAAGACCAAAGAGGGGGGACCUUCGGGCCUCUUGCCAUCGGAUGUGCCCAGAUGGGAUUAGCUAGUAGGUGGGGUAACGGCUCACCUAGGCGACGAUCCCUAGCUGGUCUGAGAGGAUGACCAGCCACACUGGAACUGAGACACGGUCCAGACUCCUACGGGAGGCAGCAGUGGGGAAUAUUGCACAAUGGGCGCAAGCCUGAUGCAGCCAUGCCGCGUGUAUGAAGAAGGCCUUCGGGUUGUAAAGUACUUUCAGCGGGGAGGAAGGGAGUAAAGUUAAUACCUUUGCUCAUUGACGUUACCCGCAGAAGAAGCACCGGCUAACUCCGUG
rnacentral:rRNA from 1 species